GAAAAACUAUAAUUUUCUUCUCAGAGUAGUAUUUUUUGAUAUGGUGUUACUAACUUAGAGUCUGCAAAUUACAGCAAAACCAUGGCCUAAACUAUUGUUUUCACAGCUUCCAUUUAUAAACAUGUUGUCUUAAUUCAGACAUUAAAACAAGCAUUUAUGAUUGAGCAUUUAUUACUCAUAAGAUUCAAAUUACUGUACUGUACUGACCCAAUAGGAAUUAGAACAGAAAAGGCUGUUGCACAACGUUGCAAAAUUGGGAGGAGGAAUUGUCUGCCUUUUGGUAAAUGUGACUUUUUUUUUCUUUUCUUCUGGAUCAAAUUAUUUGUACCUUUGUUUUUCUUCAGUACUUUUUCUUUCCCUGUACAACAUCUUUCUAUAUGUCCUAUAUCAAUCCAGGUUUCUUUUCUUUAUCUCUGCUGAAAUGAGGAAGAGGAAUAUGUGUGUAUUUGUACUGCUAUAUGAGAAUGAAGAGAGAAAAUUAAUAUUUUAAUUAACUGACAUCACCUAGCUGACACUGACAACUAUGCAAAAUUGUAUCUGGUUAAUAACUGAAUCAGAUAUUGGGAAUUUCACAUUUAUUCCAUGUUAUUUCAUUGUUGCCAAGGAAAAACAUGGAGUAUUUAUGAAUUCACAAAGAAUUGUCAUCGACUCUAAGAAUUCCUUUUUAAUUUUAAUUAGUAUUUUUUUGUAUUCACCCUACUUUUGGGAAAGGAGAUAAGGGUAGCUCUUGGCAGAUAUAUAUAUACACACACACACACAUAUUAUGUAUACAUGUGCCAAUGUAUCACAAGCAUAUAUUUUCUCCAGGAUUGGCAACACUAAUUUGAAAAGAUGGGCAAGCUGGCUAUUGCGCAGGAGUUACUUCAUAACUAUGUGGUUUGUCAACAACUAGCCUGUCAUAAUACCAGGUCAUCAUGUCAAAGAAUUCUCAGAAAUGUUUGGAGGGAGUAUUGUGUAAUCUCACCUCAGCUGCCCAUUUCACCUGGUCUUACAACUUUACUUUAGCCCAUGUUUUCCAUCUGUCCUAGUUUUUAAAUUGGUUCUUAGUGUAAAAGCUAAAAUGACAAAAGUACACAGAUAUUCAAAGAACAACUAUUCAUUGAUUAUUAUUUUUAAUAUUUAACUCUCAUCUAGGCUAAUGAUCCAAGAUAUUUUUAGCCUAUGACAAAGAACAAAAUUACACAUUUCCCACUUCCUUUCAAAAAUAUCCAACCAGAUUACCUUAUUAAAGUAAGAUUGAAUUAUCAGUUGGAGUAUCACUUGCCUCUGAAUAAGUAGAUAUCCAGUAGAUAUUUCUUUAUCUGUGUAAUGAUGAGAUAUUCUUUUAGGGUGUAUUUUCAAUUCCUAGCCAAUUUCCCAAAUAUAAUAUAUCUAACAUGCUUAUCUCCACAGUUUAAAAAGAAUGUUGUUUUUUUCUGUAACUAUAAAAUCCAAGUAUAAUUAUCUAUAUCUUUCUAGUGCCAACUGAAAAUGGGAGUGACUCCAUCAGUGAAAUGGUGCUGAUAAUUGAAAAAUAUAUUUUUAAAGGCUGGGCAUUUCUUAGAUAAUGCUAAAAGAAGAAGGAAAUUAUAGUUCGGCUGCAGAUGCCUUGAUUGUACUGCUACUGAAUCAUUACAAGAUCAUUUAGUGUCAUUUUUAUUAUCACUAUGGUAGUGAUGGAUAAAAUGUUUAGGAGUUUGCUAUAAAUCUGGAUUUGACUAUAAAAUUUGGAAAAUAUACCAUACUCCGUCUUAAAACCAUGUUUAGUAGAAUCUCCAAGCUCAGCUAUCAUUAUCAGAGAUUUAAAAAUGUAGUCCUUUAAAAUAUGUU